CAUACUUGUUAUACAAAUGUAUCCCCAUCAGUUCAAGUAGAUGAUCCUCAACUUAUAUGGUCUCAAUCUGUUGCUGGCCUACAUGACUCGGACAAUAAAGAGUCAAUACUCUAGUAUUAGAUCCAUCAUGUUGCUGUUGUUAUUGCUUCUGUUCCAAUUACUAAAUUCAUCCAUUUGAAUAUCAGAUUUGAAAGGCAAAAUUUUCCCCUUUUCUUCUCUGGUGCAACACCUUUGGUUGGAGUGUUGCUUUAUGCUCAGUGCUACGGUGGACAUCAAUUUGGUAUAUGGGUUGGCCAGUUGGGUGAUGGUAGGGUAAUUACGCUUGGGGCGAUACUCAAUUCUAAGUCUGAAAGGUGGGAACUGCGGCUUAAAGGUGAUGGGAAGACUCCUUACAGCCGCUUUGCCGAUGCCUUGCAGUGCUCCAUAGCAGCAUCAGGGAAUUCCUUUGCAGUGAAGCGAUGCAUCACCUGGGGAUACCGACAACCCGUGCUCUUUGUCUUGUGAACACUGGAAAGUUGGUCACUCGAGACAUGUUCUACAAUGUCGGCGCAGAAAUGCUCCAGUUUCAAAGCAUAGAACCCUUCUUCUAUCGGGGCUAGACACAGGAAUCUGAGAGGCACAAAAUAAAUCUUUAGAAGUUCCCUCGAUCUAAACAUCAACCACAAUGGAUUUCUAAUUUGUUGUAGAGGUUUGCAAGCAUUAGAACUAAGUUUUAGAAUAUACUAUUCCUCUGUCCAUUAUUUAUAUAAGCUAUAUUCUAAUUUGUAUCGACUGUUUGUGUCAUUGAUUCUGAGUGAUAUUACCCAACAAAUAAUCAUCCUAAUCUUUUUUGUAUUAUGCAUCAAUGAAAUGGGCCUCACCAUAAAU